AGGAAAAGAAAAUAACAAUGAUUCCUCUAGUAACUGCGAGUGAAGAGGGAAAAGCUCAAAUUUUAAAUCUGUUAGGUUUACCUAACCGAGUUGUAAUUUGAAGAAGCGUUUUCUGCGAAUUUGGUUAGUCCAAAUCCUUUGGAAUAAGGUAUCAUGGAGGGUGAGAAUCCCGUUCGGUUAACCAAAGCGCUUUACGAUACGCUUUCAAAGAGUCAAGUUGUUUGGGAUUGCAGCUUAAAAUGGGAGGUAAAUUUCUCCUAAGGCUAAAUAUUGGCGAGAGACCGAUAGCGAACAAGUACCGUGAGGGAAAGAUGAAAAGAACUUUGAAAAGAGAGUUAAACAGUACGUGAAAUUGUUGAAAGGGAAACGAUUAAAGUCAGUCGUACCUACGAGUAAUCAACCUACUCGAGUGCGAUCUUGUGGGUAUGUUUGAGCUUAAAAACCUUCAUGCUUACAAAUUGGUGCUCUUUGGGCGUACUUUCUCGUAUGGUAGGUUAACAUCAAUUUCGAUCGCUAUAAAAUGACUGGAGGAAUGUAGCUUCGACUUCGGUCGAAGUGUUAUAGCCUUUGGUAGAUGUAAUGAUUGGGAUUGAGGAUUGCAACGGAUACCCUCUGGGCUAUUCGUCUGAUCUCUGGAAGUUACCUUGGUGUCGAAAGCGUGCUUACGAUAUUAAGGUUGACGGCCAAUAGGUUAGAACGUGAUUAAAUUCGUUAAGGAUGUUGACGUAAUGGCUUUAAACGAC
rnacentral:rRNA from 1 species